GCGCAACAACUGUCACCCAUAAAUAAUUUGACUCAUGGUGUCUAUACCAUUUUGUGCGUCCUACUGCAAUUGAUGUUUUUUACUGCACCUAUGAAAAUAAAGAACAACACCUGUUUUGUACCUGAAUCCGGUGCCAAAUGACCAGAAGGUUCCCUGAAGUCCUUUGAAGUUUGGGGAAGGAGUAAUAGUAUGUAGAGUACAUUAUAUGCUCUCUCUAUCUUCUUGCACUAUAUUGACAUCUGCUGUCAACAUCAUUCCAUUCUGCUGCUGUCCAUUAUAGAUGGAAGGGUUACUCUGCUAUCUGUGCCAACACUCUUGUUUUCUAUGGGGACCCUUGACAGAUGUUAAAACUGCAGGACUUUCUCUUUACAUCCCCGCACCCUUACAUCAAGAAGCCAUCAUGCCAUGUGGAGGCCAAAGAGUAUAUCUGCUGGUAAUCAAGAAACCCGAAGGUUAAUUCUACAACUUGUCAACUCGUGUACUUUGUAACUUAUCUGUCCCUUUGCAAACUCUGCUACCCUGUAUAGUAUAACUUUUACUUGGCCGAUUGAGGAACAUUAUCCAGGAUCCAUAACGUCAUCCUCCCUGCUAAUAUAUUUGAUGUGAUCGAGAUGUCAAAAAUUUACCCCAUUGCGGUUAGUGACCACGCCCCUCUCUCUCUCUUACCUUACACCUUCUAACCUCUGAUGACAACACUAAAUGUUCGACAUUUCCUUCCUCCCGCCACCAGUUUCAGGAUUUUACUAGCUAUCACAAACUUCUCUGAAGCAGCUUGGCUUCCAGCGCUGAACAAUGCCUGAGACUUUUUGGCCCAUGGACCUUAUUAGCAGUUCCCUCAGGGAUUAUCCACACUAUGAAUAUGGGCAGUUUUUGCUGUUAAUAUUUGAUUUUCCUUAUAUUUGAUUACUUAUUGUUAUUUAUUUAUUUUUUGGCAUAUGUUGUUCUACUUAAAAAGCAGAUGUGACACUUUUGACUGUUUUGCUCUUUUCUAUUAUCAUGUGCACUAACAU